CUGUCACGUCCCAUGAAGCCAAGGGGACGGGGAGGAAACCCUCCGUCCUCCAGCCAGGGUGGCCCAGGCCUUCUCAGGACUCAGCUCUGCCAGGAGGUUCUAAGUUUAAAAGCCCUCCAGGCAAUGAUUUUGCAGAUAACUGUGAUGAAGUACUUUGUGUGUGUGUGGUUUGUUUCUGCUUUUGUUUUUUUAGGGCCGCACCCCCAGCACAUGGAGGUUCCCAGGCUAGGGGUCCAAUGGGAGCGGUAGCCGCCAGCCUGCACCAGAGCCACAGCAGUGUGGGAUCCAAGCCGCGUCUGUGACCUACACCGCAGCUCACGGCAACGCCGGAUCCUUGACCCACGGAGCAAGGCCAGGGAUCGAACCUGCGUCCUCAUGGAUGCUCGUCAGAUUCGUUGCCGCUGCGCCACGAUGGGAACCCCGACUGUGAUGAAAUUCUAAUCCUAGUAGGUCGUGAGUCUCUACCAUGUACCCCUCCUUCUCUUAGUGAUUUGUCUCCUGACAAAAUAAUGAGAGAGAUGCGCAGAGACGUCGGCAGGAAGAUAUUUAUUACAACAUUGUUAUAAGAAAUAUAAAGCGAUGUGUGACAGUCCUGGGCCACGCGCACACGCACCACCUCCUGUCCCCCCGCUGGUACAUGGAGGGGGGACUCAUAAGCAGUGGCUUCUCUCUCCCACCCCAGGAAGCCUCUCUUCUAAGGCACCGUCACCCGCGGGUGUGUCUAGAAGGCUUUUCUGGCACUCUUCCUCCUCCCAACAACCUGAGAACAACUGUGAGCCCGUAACCCCUUAUCCCUCAUUCCAAAAUAAAACAUCUCUCAACAAUAGGGUUUUUUCCCUAACUCUGACCCCAAAUCUGGCCUGACCCGUGGUGAUCACAUUUCUAGACUUUCUGUGUCUCACUGAGUGUGAACAGGCACACAUUUAGCCUCAGAAACACUGGCGGCUUUGGUGGCAGGCCGCUGUCCUCCGCCUCACUGGGGUACUCCUUCCUCUGUCACAAAGGCACGAGAUUCCCUCCCCGACAUCUGAAAACGGCUUCAUCCAAAAC
rnacentral:lncRNA from 1 species